CUUUUCCAGGUCAGUUAUCUGUAUUGAAUGGCUGGAGAAUACAAACCUAGUACAAAUGUAUAUAGGGGAACGAAGAGGCCUCACAUAUAACUGACUGUCAUUGGGUAAUUUUAUUAUUAAUAAAAAAUUGAGAAUGGAAAUGGGGAAUGUGUCAAAGAGACAACAACCUGACCAAAGAGCAGAAAACAGCCAAAGACCACCAAUGGAUCUACAAAACACUGAGAAAAUCACGCACACAGAGGCAUGCUUCAGCUGCCACCUUAACAAAAAUGUGUACUACUCCUGGUAACAUGGGGUCAAGGUGAUAAUGAAUGUUAUACUAGACUCCGAAAUAUAUAAAUGAACUAAAAUUAAAUAAUCAUAACAAGACUAACAAAGGCCAGAGGCUCCUGACUUGGGACAUGCGAAAAAAUGUGUAGGGGUUAAACAUGUUUUGCAAGAUCUCAACCUAUCCAGCUAGCCAUUGUAGAAAAACAAAAACAAUAGGCACAUUAAAUCUCAGUUUAAAGAAGUCAUAUUUAGUCCUAUGUCAGAAUAGGAAACAAACCAAACUAAGCAAAAUGACGAUGAAAAAAUUUACAAAGGACUACUAGCAGUUACUGACAUGUUCCUCGGACAUAUGUGAACUUAACUUUAAAUGUCAUACACUAUAUGCAUGAUAUGUUUUAUCACUUUUUGACUUUUUUUUUUUUAGCAUAUGAAAUAUAUCUUGAAAGUAUUGAGCCAAGGUGUUUUUUUACGAAUAUUCUUUUUGGUACCCUAAUACCGGUACGGACAUGAAUUACCAAUAAGAAAAAUAAUUUCUUUGGUUUUAUUCCGAUACAGAUACAUGAAGUCAGACUAAAUGUUUUUGAACCUUGCAUAUCUACUUGAACUUGUUUCUUAGUUUUGCAAAAUUACUUUAUUCAGUAAAAUUUCUAAACAAAUGUAUAGUUUUGUAGACAUUGGCCUCACACAAAUUGCAUUUUAUUAAACUUGAGCUAAUUAUAUUUCAGCAAAAGGCUUUGCAGCCAUACAAAACAUGUAUUUCAUCUUGGAAGAAAAAGAACAACAGUCCUGAUGAUGGUGACAGGUCAAAUUAAUCUACCAGGUAACACAUACACAACAUAUUGUUUUAAGGCUUUUCCAUUUAAACAUACAUGCAUGCAUAUUGGGACCAGGGAAGACACUUAGAGAUCCAAAGUUAUAAUGUUGGGGUGGGGUUAAUUGCAAUGAAAAUGUUAGUGAAAUUCUCAAUUGGCUUCUAUCAGUUGAUUAUUGAUUAAGUAUAAAUUUAACUUUAUUAGCUAUAGUUGAAAAAUCUACUUUUUUCAUCUGUUAUAUUUAUCCUUCCAUGGAUGGGCACUUGUUGUUUAACUUACAUACAUUAUUGUUAUGUUAGUUUAGUAAUGUUAUGUUAGUUUAGUAAAAUAUAAUAAUGGAUUAAACCCAGAUUUUAGUUAAAUAUAGCCUCCUUUUGUUGUGCUUGAUAUCCUGAAUUUUUUUUAUAUAUAUUAAGAAGUAAAGUUAACACUUAUAGAUAUUCUCCAUCAAACACUUAUAGAUAUUCUCCAUCAAAUAUAAUAUUUUUUUACAACCAGUAUAUAUUUUAAAUGGAACGUCAGAAAGCGAGAGUAAAAAAAAAACAAUUCACAAAAACAGAAAAAUUGAAACAAAUGCAUGACAUAGAUGUGUUGAAAAACAAAAGGAAUGUUUCUCUGUUUAAGAGUUAUUGUAUGGACUACAAACACAAUACAACCCUCUUAAAACCCAGGUUAUAUCAGGUGUUAAGAGUGAGCAUACACUGCUUGUAUAUGAUUUAUAGUUCAUAACAGUCUGUCAUUCUGUACCUCUGUCAAAUUAGCCAUACUUGGUAUAGAAUAAAGAUUAUUUGUACACAAUGAUUUUCAAUGUAAAGUUUCACAUAGGAAAAUAACUUUGUAUAAUUUUCAUAUUUCUGUUUCCUGUAAACUAGUAACGAUUACCAGUAUAGUUGUAUAGUUCUGAGCAUUUUGUCAAACAUAUAAACUUGUAAUAAUAUUCCCUGAACAUUUUGGUACAGGAUUGUGGGUAAAACUCUUAAAAUAUAAAUAUUUCUGUAACAAUUGUACAUGUAAUAACAAUUAGCCACUUCAUGAUAUCCAUUACCAAAAAAUGUUGUAUAGUCUGAUUAUAACCACAGAAUUUACUUUGCUUUUCAGAUACUAGUGAAGAAAUAAAGAAACAAGAGUAGACACCAUUUGACCAACUGUGCUUACAAUACUUGUGCAAUAGUUGUAAUUGAUGUCCAUACUACAUUGUAGUGUCAUACAUGUAUGAUAAUACAUUACAGCAUCCAUAGAAUUAUCAUCUUGGUCGUCAAUGCCUCUCAUUUCUUAAUAAAUUGCAUUUGUUAUUUUGGUUGUAUGAUUUUCUAAAAAGACUUUUUUGUUAUUAAUGGAGUAGAAUGUUGAAAAAACAAAUGACAAAGAUCAUUGCUGAAUGAAGUACAAGUAUUUUUUUAAAGUUUAAAUAGACAAUUGGUAUGGUGUUUGAGUGAUUUAAAAUAGAUAUUUCUUAUUUGUUUCCAGUACAUUAAUAAGCACUUUAUCACACAAUCAGUGGCAGAUCCAGAAAUUUUCAUAAGUUGGGGCCCACUGACUGCCUAAGAGGGGGUCCGGCCCACUCCAGUCAUGCUUCAGUGAUUCCCUAUAUAAUCAACCAAAUUUCUUUCCAAAAAAGGGGAAGCCAGGGGCCCCUGGCCCCCUCUAAAUCCGCCUCUGACAAUACCAUGAA
rnacentral:lncRNA from 1 species